CAGAGGUGCCGAGCGUUAGGCGGAAUCACUGGGCUUAAAGCGUGUGUAGGCGGGUUUCUAAGUACCUUGUGAAAUCCCACGGCUCAACCGUGGAACUGCUUGGUAUACUGGGAAUCUCGAGCCACUUAGGGGCUACCGGAACAAAUGGUGGAGCGGUGAAAUGCGUAGAUAUCAUUUGGAACGCCAAUGGUGAAAACAGGUAGCUGGGAGUGUGCUGACGCUGAGACACGAAAGCCAGGGGAGCGAACGGGAUUAGAUACCCCGGUAGUCCUGGCCGUAAACGAUGUCGACUAGAUCGUAGUGCCUCUGACGGUAUUACGGUCGAAGCAAAAGUGCUAAGUCGACCGCCUGGGAAGUACGGUCGCAAGGCUA
rnacentral:rRNA from 1 species